UUUGGCCUCAAAAUAAGUUUC
rnacentral:piRNA from 1 species